UGGGGAAGAUGGGGACAAUGGGCGGAAGCCUGAUGCAGCAACGCUGCGUGAGUGAUGAAGGCCUUCGGGUUGUAAAGCUCUGUCUUCUGGGACGAUAAUGACGGUACCAGAGGAGGAAGCCACGGCUAACUACGUGCCAGCAGCCGCGGUAAUAA
rnacentral:rRNA from 1 species